rnacentral:lncRNA from 1 species
GUCCAGAGUUCCAUGUGCUUGAAUAGCUGCCCCCCCCCUUCUGGGGACCUUAUAAAUACUUCUAGACUUAGAGCCUAGCAGGCCGAGGUGGGUGUGCCCUUGAUGGUUGUAACCAGACCUGCUCCAGUGCUCUCCUGUCUCCUACUUGCCAUGAUGAAACAUUCAGGUGCCAUGUCUUCCCACCAUGAAGUAUUUCCUGAAAGUGUGAGCCAAAGCAGACCUUUCUUUCCCCCGUGGACUUUUCCUCUGUCAAGUACUCUGUCACAGUGCUGAGGUACCAAUGACUUCUCACAAAGGCCAUGUCUGCCAAAGACCAAGCACACUGGAGCAACCCCUGGACCCUCAGGCUCCUUGACCAGUUACUAGUGAGAGAGUUCAGAUACCUUCAGGCUUUCAGAAACUACAGCACUUGAGACAGUGCCAACAAUACAGCCAGAGUGGAGACGUGAGCUGUGGGGUAAGAGGACACUGGGCACCAUGUGAAGACCUGUCUGCACACAGCCUCUGAGAAGUCCCCUAGCCACCCACCUCCGUCCUGGCAUCCUCCAAACACAGAUGAGAAUUAAGACCCAGAGUCCUGGGUUUGGGAACAAAACGAUGGUGACUCCAGACGACAAUCCCAACACUCAAGAUGCUACUACAGGAGGACUGCUGCAAGUUCAAGCCUGCCUAGCCACAGCAACAGUGAGUUCCAGAC